rnacentral:precursor_RNA from 8 species
GCGGAACUUGACACACUUAUGUCUACUCCCUGUGGGUGUUAACUCGGUCAGAUGCUAAUUUAUUUCCAUCACCGGGUUAACAUUCAUCCGGGAAGGCCAUACAAAUCUACAACAGAACAU